rnacentral:rRNA from 1 species
UACAGAGACUGCAAGCGUUAUUCGGAUUCACUGGGCGUAAAGGGUGCGCAGGCGGCCAGGUGUGUUAGGCGUGAAAGCCCGAGGCUCAACCUCGGAAUUGCACCUAAAACUAUCUGGCUAGAGUACUGGAGAGGGUAGUGGAAUUCACGGUGUAGCAGUGAAAUGCGUAGAUAUCGUGAGGAACACCAAAGGCGAAGGCAACUACCUGGACAGUGACUGACGCUAAGGCACGAAAGCGUGGGGAGCCAAAGGG